rnacentral:rRNA from 1 species
AUUGAACGCUGGCGGAAUGCUUUACACAUGCAAGUCGAACGGUAGAGGGGGCAACCCCUCGAGAGUGGCGAACGGGUGAGUAAUAUAUCGGAACGUGCCCAGUCGUGGGGGAUAACGAAGCGAAAGUUACGCUAAUACCGCAUACGAUCUAAGGAUGAAAGCGGGGGAUCGCAAGACCUCGCGCGAUUGGAGCGGCCGAUAUCAGAUUAGGUAGUUGGUGGGGUAAAGGCUCACCAAGCCAACGAUCUGUAGCUGGUCUGAGAGGACGACCAGCCACACUGGAACUGAGACACGGUCAAGACUCCUACGGGAGGCAGCAGUGGGGAAUUUUGGACAAUGGACGCAAGUCUGAUCCAGCCAUUCCGCGUGCAGGAUGAAGGCCCUCGGGUUGUAAACUGCUUUUGUACGGAACGAAAAGGUCUCUCUUAAUACGGGGGACUCAUGACGGUACCGUAAGAAUAAGCACCGGCUAACUACGUGCCAGCAGCCGCCGUAAAAC